CCCUUAGAUGUUCUGGGCCGCACGCGCGCUACACUGAUUCAUGCAACAAGUUUUGUCCUUGGCUGAUAGGCCUGGGUAAUCUUUGAACGUGAAUCGUGAUGGGGAUAGAUGAUUGCAAUUAUUCAUCUUCAACGAGGAAUUCCUAGUAAACGCAAGUCAUCAGCUUGCAUUGAUUACGCCCCUGCCCUUUGUACACACCGCCCGUCGCACCUACCGAUUGAAUGGUCCGGUGAAAUCUUCGGAUCUGAGAGAUGUCUGAUUAAUUUCGGACGCCUUUUGGAAAAGUUGCUUAAACCUUACCAUUUAGAGGAAGGUGAAGUCGUAACA
rnacentral:rRNA from 1 species